GCCUAGUUAGCUUAGUUGGUAGUGCGUCUGCCUUGUAAGCGCUAGGCCGCGGGUUCGAUUCCCGCCCGGGGUU
rnacentral:tRNA from 1 species